UGGGCGUAAGGGCGUGUAGGUGGAUUCUUAAGUCGUGUGUCUAAGUGCGAAGCUCAACUUCGUAUGGGCGCAGGAAACUGGGAAUCUUGAGUGCAGGAGAGGAAAGUGGAAUUCCCAGUGUAGCGGUGAAAUGCGUAGAUAUUGGGAGGAACACCAGUGGCGAAGGCGACUUUCUGGACUGUGUCUGACACUGAGGCGCGAAAGCUAGGGGAGCGAACGGGAUUAGAUACCCCGGUAGUCCUAGCCGUAAACGAUGGGUACUAGGUGUAGAGGGUAUCGACCCCUUCUGUGCCGGAGUUAACGCAAUAAGUACCCCGCCUGGGGAGUACGGCCGCAAGGUUGAAACUCAAAGGAAUUGACGGGGGCCCGCACAAGCGGUGGAGUAUGUGGUUUAAUUCGACGCAACGCGAAGAACCUUACCAGGGCUUGACAUUGAGUGAAAGGUCUAGAGAUAGAUCCCUCUCUUCGGAGACACAAAAACAGGUGGUGCAUGGCUGUCGUCAGCUCGUGUCGUGAGAUGUUGGGUUAAGUCCCGCAACGAGCGCAACCCUUAUCCUUUGUUGCCAGCACGUUAUGGUGGGAACUCAAGGGAGACUGCCGCAGACAAUGCGGAGGAAGGCGGGGAUGACGUCAAGUCAUCAUGCCCCUUAUGUCCUGGGCUACACACGUACUACAAUGGGCUUAAACAAAGCGCAGCAAGACCGCGAGGUUGAGCGAAACGCAUAAACAAGCUCUCAGUUCGGAUCGGAGGCUGCAACUCGCCUCCGUGAAGUCGGAAUCGCUAGUAAUCGCAGGUCAGCAUACUGCGGUGAAUACGUUCCCGGGCCUUGUACACACCGCCCGUCACACCACGAA
rnacentral:rRNA from 1 species